UAAAGCCCCGACGGGAGGGGAUGGCUCCGCGGCCCAUCAGGUAGACGGCGGGGUGACGGCCCACCGUGCCGACAACGGGUAGCCGGGUUGAGAGACCGACCGGCCAGAUUGGGACUGAGACACGGCCCAGACUCCUACGGGAGGCAGCAGUGGGGAAUCUUGCGCAAUGGGGGGAACCCUGACGCAGCGACGCCGCGUGCGGGACGGAGGCCUUCGGGUCGUAAACCGCUUUCAGCAGGGAAGAGUCAAGACUGUACCUGCAGAAGAAGCCCCGGCUAACUACGUGCCAGCAGCCGCGGUAAUACGUAGGGGGCGAGCGUUAUCCGGAUUCAUUGGGCGUAAAGCGCGCGUAGGCGGCCCGGCAGGCCGGGGGUCGAAGCGGGGGGCUCAACCCCCCGAAGCCCCCGGAACCUCCGCGGCUUGGGUCCGGUAGGGGAGGGUGGAACACCCGGUGUAGCGGUGGAAUGCGCAGAUAUCGGGUGGAACACCGGUGGCGAAGGCGGCCCUCUGGGCCGAGACCGACGCUGAGGCGCGAAAGCUGGGGGAGCGAACAGGAUUAGAUACCCUGGUAGUCCCAGCCGUAAACGAUGGAAGGUAGGUGUGGGGGGACGAUCUCCCCGUGCCGCAG
rnacentral:rRNA from 1 species